rfam:Ictidomys tridecemlineatus contig104221, whole genome shotgun sequence.
AUCCUUUUGUGAUUCCUAAGUGUGGUACUUGGGUUUGCAUGAUAAUGUGUAAAAUGUGCCUCCCUUAAAACUUUUUACAAAAUUGACACAUUAUCCCCGUGACA